rnacentral:rRNA from 1 species
GAUGAACGCUGGCGGCGUGCCUAAUACAUGCAAGUCGAGCGAACAGACGAGGAGCUUGCUCCUCUGACGUUAGCGGCGGACGGGUGAGUAACACGUGGAUAACCUACCUAUAAGACUGGGAUAACUUCGGGAAACCGGAGCUAAUACCGGAUAACAUGUUGAACCGCAUGGUUCAACAGUGAAAGACGGUUUUGCUGUCACUUAUAGAUGGAUCCGCGUCGCAUUAGCUAGUUGGUAAGGUAACGGCUUACCAAGGCAACGAUGCGUAGCCGACCUGAGAGGGUGAUCGGCCACACUGUAACUGAGACACGGUCCAGACUCCUACGGGAGGCAGCAGUAGGGAAUCUUCCGCAAUGGGCGAAAGCCUGACGGAGCAACGCCGCGUGAGUGAAGAAGGUCUUCGGAUCGUAAAACUCUGUUAUUAGGGAAGAACAAAUGUGUAAGUAACUAUGCACGUCUUGACGGUACCUAAUCAGAAAGCCACGGCUAACUACGUG